UCUCUGGUGGCUCAGAGGGUAAAGAACCCACCUGCAGUGUGGGAGACCCAGGUUCGAUCCUGGUUCAGAAAG
rnacentral:tRNA from 1 species